UGCCACAGCCAUAUCACCCUGCAGCCCAAGACUGGUUGCCCACUGAAGCUAAGCAGGGUUGAGCCUGGUCAGUACCUGGAUGGGAGACCUCUUGGGAAAACUAGGUUGCUGUUGGAA
rnacentral:rRNA from 1 species